GUAUUCGCUUCGGCAGCACAUAUGCUAAAAUUGGAACAAUACAGAGAAGAUUAGCAUGGUCGCUGGACAAGGAUGACACGCAAAUAUGUGAAGCGUUCCACAUUUUU